CCUCAGAGAAAAUGUUCCCUUCCGGUGUCCGUUAUUUAGGCCUCGGCUAGGAAACAAGAGCUUGGGCUCCUGAACUGGUGGCAAUCACGUUCCUAGGGAUUGCAGGAAGCCUGAAUGAAGAGAAUUACCCAAAAUGAAGGAAGCAUGCCCAUGAGUUAUGAAUUCUUGGCGAACAUGAAUAGAAGGGUGCUAUCGCGUUCAUGCUUGGCUUGUGGAUCGUAGAAUCAUAAAGUUGGAAGAGACCACAAGGGCCAUCCAGGCUACCCCCAUUUUGUCAUGAAGGAAGAUACUAUUCAAGCACUCCUGACAGAUGGUCAUCCAGACUCUACUUAAAAACUUCCAGAGAAAAAGACUUUCCAGGAGACAACUGGUUGAUCUCAGUGGGAACAGAAUCCUGCACUAGGUAGGUCUUUGGUCUAUGUACCAAAAGUCUUACAGUUUGCAGACAACAGAAGGAAGUUGAAGAUACCUGAAAACCAAGGUUUCCUCUUCACCCUGAAUAACAUUUUGGGAGAAUGAU